rnacentral:rRNA from 1 species
GAGUUUGAUCCUGGCUCAGAUUGAACGCUGGCGGCAUGCCUUACACAUGCAAGUCGAACGGCAGCAUGAUCUAGCUCGCUAGAUUGAUGGCGAGUGGCGAACGGGUGAGUAAUACAUCGGAACGUGCCCUGUAGUGGGGGAUAACUAGUCGAAAGAUUAGCUAAUAUCGCAUACGACCUGAGGGUGAAAGUGGGGGACCGCAAGGCCUCAUGCUAUAGGAGCGGCCGAUGUCUGAUUAGCUAGUUGGUGGGGUAAAGGCCCACCAAGGCGACGAUCAGUAGCUGGUCUGAGAGGACGAUCAGCCACACUGGGACUGAGACACGGCCCAGACUCCUACGGGAGGCAGCAGUGGGGAAUUUUGGACAAUGGGCGAAAGCCUGAUCCAGCAAUGCCGCGUGUGUGGAGAAGGCC